rnacentral:rRNA from 1 species
GAUGAACGCUGGCGGCGUGCCUAAUACAUGCAAGUCGAGCGAACGGACGAGAAGCUUGCUUCUCUGAUGUUAGCGGCGGACGGGUGAGUAACAAGUGGAUAACCUACCUAUAAGACUGGGAUAACUUCGGGAAACCGGAGCUAAUACCGGAUAAUAUUUUGAACCGCAUGGUUCAAAAGUGAAAGACGGUCUUGCUGUCACUUAUAGCUGGAUCCGCGCUGCAUUAGCUAGUUGGUAAGGUAACGGCUUACCAAGGCAACGAUGCAUAGCCGACCUGAGAGGGUGAUCAGCCACACUGGAACUGAGACACGGUCCAGACUCCUACGGGAGGCAGCAGUAGGGAAUCUUCCGCAAUGGGCGAAAGCCUGACGGAGCAACACCGCGUGAGUGAUGAAGGUCUUCGGAUCGUAAAGCUCUGUUAUUAGGGAAGAACAUAUGUGUAAGUAACUGUGCACAUCUUGACGGUACCUAAUCAGAAAGCCACGGCUAACUACGUG